GUUAAUUAGCGCUUACUCUUUUUUUUUUCUGUUGCUCUAAAGGUGCAUGAAGGCACAACACAAAGCAAAGGAACCAGGAUAUGAUUUUGCUGCAAAAAGGCCGGUCCCCUGAAAAAGAACUGUUCAAUCUGGAAAGCUGAGCAGAGAAGGAAAGAGCCACCCACAAGAGAAAGGGUUAAAACAGUUACAAAGUAAACUGUAGGUGCA